rnacentral:rRNA from 1 species
AGUGAACGCUGGCGGUAGGCCUAACACAUGCAAGUCGAACGGCAGCACAGGAGAGCUUGCUCUCUGGGUGGCGAGUGGCGGACGGGUGAGGAAUACAUCGGAAUCUACUUUUUCGUGGGGGAUAACGUAGGGAAACUUAUGCUAAUACCGCAUACGACCUACGGGUGAAAGCAGGGGACCUUCGGGCCUUGCGCGAUUGAAUGAGCCGAUGUCGGAUUAGCUAGUUGGCGGGGUAAAGGCCCACCAAGGCGACGAUCCGUAGCUGGUCUGAGAGGAUGAUCAGCCACACUGGAACUGAGACACGGUCCAGACUCCUACGGGAGGCAGCAGUGGGGAAUAUUGGACAAUGGGCGCAAGCCUGAUCCAGCCAUACCGCGUGGGUGAAGAAGGCCUUCGGGUUGUAAAGCCCUUUUGUUGGGAAAGAAAUCCAGCUGGCUAAUACCCGGUUGGGAUGACGGUACCCGAAGAAUAAGCACCGGCUAACUUCGUGCCAGCAGCCGCCGCGG